GAGCUCCGCCUCCUUUUAAAGUUUCCAAAUUGCAAAAAACGAAUUUGCGUUGUUUGAAACAGACCAAACAUUUCCUAAUUCAUUUUUAUUCCAACUCUCAGUAGCAACAGAUCAGGAACUUGAUGUGAGACUCACACAAAUAUGGCGAAAAGAGAUAACUUGACUGACAAAAUAUGGAAUGACUGUAGCCAUCUUCCCCCUGUGUUAUCUUUAGCGAAAAUUUUUCUGUUUCUGUAUUUGAUGGCUCAGGGCAAUUGUCAUUUGCUAUCUUCCAAUAUUAACUUGGAGCUUCUUGCUACGCACACUGCCUCCAAGAUGGAGUUGUAUUUAUCCAAAUACAUCGGAAAUAUGAAGGAAAAAAAACCUCUCCUGCAAAGGUA